AGAGUAACAAUUGGAGGGCAAGUCUGGUGCCAGCAGCCGCGGUAAUUCCAGCUCCAAUAGCGUAUAUUAAACUUGUUGCAGUUAAAAAGCUCGUAGUUGAAUUUUUGCGUGGUGUUAAUAUUGACUAAUGUCGAGAUUGCACUUCGCUUUUGGGAUUUAUCCCUUUUUACUUUGAGAAAAUUAGAGUGUUUCAAGCAGACUUUUGUCUUGAAUACUUCAGCAUGGAAUAAUAGAGUAGGACUUUGGUUCUAUUUUGUUGGUUUGUGAACCUUAGUAAUGGUUAAUAGGAACGGUUGGGGGCAUUCGUAUUUAACUGUCAGAGGUGAAAUUCUUAGAUUUGUUAAAGACGAACUACUGCGAAAGCAUUUGCCAAGGACGUUUUCAUUAAUCAAGAACGAAAGUUAGGGGAUCGA
rnacentral:rRNA from 1 species